AAUAUUUUUCUUGAAAAUUAUUUUUUAAAUCAAUGUUUCCCUUAAGAUACCUUAAGAUCUUUUUAAAUAUUGCAAUAGCUCUAUAUUAUUUUUAUUAGUAUACCUACUUAGGAUAUUCACUCCAGUAUCUAUAUCGGGACGUGUACAAAGUAUUACGUACAUUAAACUACCAAUUAAAUUUCGACAAGGAGCAUCGUAUUUUUCGUUUGCAUUUAACAUUUCAUAAUCUAGUUUUGACGGAAGCGGAGUAUUUACAGACUUGCAGUCUUCCAUAUUAAACUUAUUUAAAACCUUUUUAAUAUAUUCAGAUUGGCUUAAAGAUAUCUGAUCUUGGCCAAUUUCUAUUUUCAUUCCAAUAAAGUAACGUAUUUCACCCAAGUCAGUCAUUCUAAAUUUUGACAUUAGGUAUUGCUUAAAAUUGUUUAAUGCUUUUAUAUCUGAUGUUGCUAUUACUAAGUCAUCCACAUAUAGUAAGACAUAAAUAUUUUUCUUGUUAUCGCCUCUAUCUUGAACAUAUAUGCAGCGAUCGACGGGUUAAUUUUUAAAUCUACAUUCUUUUAAUGCCUGCUCAAAAAUUUCAAACCAGCAUCUAGCUGCUUGUUUGAGCCCCUAAAUGGCUUUGUUCAAUUUGCAUACGUUUUCUCGAUUUCAAAUAAUUCCUUGAGGAAAUUUCAUAUAUAUUUCCUCCUUCAGCGUACCAUUGAGAAAAGCAGUUUUAACAUUCAUGUGAUGUACUUUAAGAUUAUAUUGAGUUGCAAUCGAUAAAAUAAAACUGAAACUAGAAAUUCUCGCAACAGGAGAGAACGUUUCGUCGUAGUCGUCUAUUUGAUAUUUUUGUGUAAAACCGCGUGCAACUAGUCUUGCUUUAUAUCUAAUUGGAUUUCCCGUUUCAUCAUGCUUGAAAGUAAAUACACACUUACAAUCUACAAUGUUCUUAUUUUCAGGUCUUUUAACAAUAGUCCAUGUCUUAUUUUAUUCAUGAGCAGAGAGUUCGACCUUGAUAGCUUCGACCCAUAAAGACUUAUCUUUUCUACUUUGUACUUCAUCAAAUGAAUAAGGAACUUCAUUAAAAACAGUACGGACGACUCCUCGUUUUGUUGCGAAGAUAUACUCCCCAUGCUUAGCAACGGCAAUUUUUAUUGGAGUUUCCAGAUCAGCAUGGUCCAUAAAUAAAGCCUCAUCAUUUAUGAGGUGGUCGGUAGCACCCGAGUCAAGAAUAAAAUUCACGUUCACUUUUGAA